GGGCCCAUGCCUACCUGAAACUUCUUACUUCCCGUGAGGCGCGAGAGCUCCCGGAACUCCAGCUGAAUGCUCGUGACCUCGGCCACCGUGCUGUCCGAGGUCCAGCGGGGCGGGUGGGCGGCCCCAGUGCCGAUGUUGACGUCGGAGUACGGGAUCUUGGAAGGCGUCUGGAACGCAGGCAUGAGCCGAUUCCCAAAAUCUUCCUGACACAACAACAUGGCGAGGCGUCAAGGCUCCCUGCUGCCCGGCGGCCUUGCCUCCGUCCCAUGACGCCACCCUGGCCCUGAGUCUGCCCAGUUAUGGGGACGUGGGACCUGCCAGCUUCACCCGGCCUCGACGCACCAUGGCCGCAAAUCGGAGCUGGCCCCGCAGAGCUCCGAGAGGAAUUCCCUGCAGGUCGCGGUGAUACAGGCAGCGCUAGGCCAGCUCGUGCGCACGUGCGCAAAGGAGGCCCCACCGGAUCAGGGGUGGGAGAUCUGGGAACGGACCCCCCCACGCCCCCCAAUCCCUCGAGCCGAGAAACAACUGUUUGCUCACUCGCUGGGACUCCUCUCCCCGCAGCGCGAGCCGGCCCGGGCUGAGACACUCACAGCCUUCCUCAGGAAGAGCUCGUCCCCCGACAGGUGGUAGGCGCUCAGAAGCCCACCAAGGAUCCGGAUUGUGCUCUCAAACAGGUUGACGUCCACAUCUUUCUGAAACCGUAGCUUCUUCGACACCCACUUCCUGGCCUCUUCAAACUCUGAGACGUGAAACAGCGAGGGUUUGCGUGUCAUGGCCUGCGGGCUGGGCAGGAGCCCUCACACCCCCCAGGACACAGAUAAGACGAGCCGGCAUGCACUCGGGCGCUCAGGCAGUCGUCAUGAAAGAUCGUGGCAUCCGAGGCCGUGGGGUCACCUCACAGGAGGCGUUGCCUCCUUGGAUGACUUAACUGGACUUCCUGAGAUCGGCUCAGAGAUAACCUAGGCUGGUGAUCCCACGACCACCCGAUCCGUGUGGCUCCAGGAGGAUGUGCGUGAGGCAGAGACCCCGGUGCUGAUGGCCUCUCGGGUCACGGGUCACCUCCCGCCACAGAGCCCCUUCUGGACACCGCGGAAGCACUGGCUGGAACUUGCUGGGGGGGGGGGGGGGGCUGCCCUGUGGGUCCUCGGGGGCCUGACGUCAAACAGCAAAGCAGCUGCCUGUGCACGGCAAGUCCACUCCUGUCACCCACGAGAAGGAGAGCACGCCAGAAGGAAACAGCAGCGUUUCCCCCAUCCGGGCACCGUUCACCCUCCCUUCUGCCCGCCCGAGUGUCACCCGAGGAGAAUCGGGGCUGUGUGUUGGGGAAGGAGCGGAUACCUUUUUUCAGACCCAAAAUCCACAUGGUGUCCAGAGCGUCAAUCAGGGUCAGGCCCAGGCCAAACCACUCACUGAAGGACCUGGACACAGGUUUCAGCUCAUCAUGGCCCCAGGCGAAUUUGCGGUAUCCGGCCCACGCGUGGCGGAAGGCGUCAAUCACAGCUCUCUGACGCUCGUUUGGGGAGGCUAGAGAGAGAGAGCAGGUCACAGAACCAGCGCGGUCAGGGUUAGACAGACCCUUCUGCAGCCCCACAAGGAACAGGGCCGGGGGGCACCGUCCAGGGCUACAGGGCAGCAGUGGACGGCGCCGAAGGUCGGACCCUCACAGCUGGACCUCGCCAAGGUGGCAAGGUCUCAACCACCUGGCCUGGGCCUGUCGCCUCCACCCUCUGGGACUGCAGGGAACACGCAGCGAGCGGAGACCCCCAAGGAGGUGGCCCAGCACCUGCACAGGAUCCCGUGGCUUCAGGGGUACCCCGUGAGCUGGCUGCGGGUAACCUGCACAGGGCGCCUCAGCUUCAAAGGGCCCGUUUCGCGCCCUGUCAGCCCCGGGCACGUGUAUUUGCAAACAGGAAGUCCCGUGGAGCAGACACACCUGGGGCCCCCCUGGAGCCUUUCUGGGGGACCUGCGACUGCCCUCCACACGUAGGAGGACAGGACCGAGUCACACAGUCACCAGGUAGACGAGACCGUGCAUGUCGAUGGCGUCACUGCACGUGCUCUUCCCACGGGUCUGAGGCCCAUCUGGGCGGACAGACGUAACCUUGGCAUCCGUCUGCAGAGCCCCACGAUCGCUGUGUCUCCCCCACAUGCCUGGGCCACGUGUCCCCCCGCCCCCUCCUACGGAGGCCAUGGCAGCCGGGUCCAGAGGGUCACUGCCUGGGCCCCAGACUCAGCUGGCCUGGCGCAAGCACCCAAGGACCCGCUGCAUGAGGCCGUGGUCUGGGCCGUCACUGGCCUAACCUCAGUUCUCCGGUCCGCGGGGCAGGGACACCACCAACAGAUGACCUCAGAGAAUGCCGUGAGGACCGAAGCAGGCAGGCCACCUGGGGCUCACAGAGUGCCAGCGCCCAGAAGUCCCUCGACUACUGGUGUGACCACGCAGGGCCCCGCACAGCUGCUGGGACCCAAUGGGCCUGGAUGGAGACGCUGAGGGGCGACCGCAUCUCCACAUCCCCCAGGCCCCGCCGUGGCACGGGUGCAGGCUGGAAACGAGCCUCCUGCCCACCCGGCGGCCCGUGGCUCCAGCGACAGUCGGGGCCCAGUCAACGGGCUACUGAGGAGCCCCGUGUCCUCUCCAAGGCCCUAACGAGAGCUGUGGCCUGCCUGAGGGUCUGAGGGUGACCAGCACUCGGAGGGACGGCAGGCACUCCAGCACACGUACUGCACGCUCAUCCGGGUGUCCACGUACCCUCUCCGUCACAGCGUCCAGAAACCACCAAAUACAGCGGCCUCAGCGUUUCUGCACACGCAGCCCCCCGCAUGGUGCUCCUCGUACCUGACCACCGUUCUCUGCGUGCUUUCCUCCUGAUGAGCAUCGCCCACCGCCUCAUCCCUCCGCUUGGUGUCUCCCUGCCUCGGGUCCUCGGAGUCUUUACCGGGGGCUCUAAGAUGCAGGUUGGGUGGUCCCCGUCGGAAAUGCCUCUGAGGCUUCUAGAUAAAAAUAUAAGUCACCCGUGAAAAUA